GUAAAGGUCAAGUAAAGUACAAAUCACAACAAAUCUCUCCAACCACCUACUAAGGCGCCAUGGGAUUUCACACAACACCGAAACAACAGGAAUCUAGGAAACUUCACCUGCACUGUCCAGUAUCCAGGUCUGUCCUUUCCAAAACCACCAAGGAUUCGAGAAAUGUCUAGCCAGGCAUUAGGAUCAGAAGAAAAUAAUUAUAAAUCCAGGUCCAGGAGUCCACUCCAUGACUCUCAUUUUCUUCUCCAAAGUUCUCGCUCUCCACGCCAGCAGUCCAACACUCCCAGCCACAGCACUGUACACCAACAGUCCCACACUCUGCACCAUAGCACUUCACGCGAGAGGUUCCGCACUCC
ensembl:lncRNA